GGAUGUGGUCUAUUAAAAGAAGAGUAGAGAGGUUGUGGUGUUGAUGUAAACUAUUUUUUUUGUUCCUGUUCUUGUUGCUUUGUUUCCAACGUCAGACAUGGUGAUUGCUUUGUUUCCACUUGAUGGUUUUGAUCAGAUUUUUCUAAGAAUAGUUCGUUGUACUUCAUAUCAUUACAACAAUCAUAUAUUUCUGUGGUUAUCUUGGUUCAAAAUUGUAUUUGUUGGUGCCUAGUUGGUCGGAUGAGAUCAAU
rnacentral:lncRNA from 1 species